rnacentral:sRNA from 1 species
UAUUCUGCCCCAUGGGGAAGGAUGAGAAGCUUCGACUAAGGUUCGACUCGAGCGCCAGCGAGAGAACGUUGCCACAGGCAACGGCCCGAAGGGCGAGGCGCUUUAGCGCCGA